rnacentral:rRNA from 1 species
GGGAAUCUACCCAUCUCUGCGGAAUAGCUCUGGGAAACUGGAAUUAAUACCGCAUACGCCCUACGGGGGAAAGAUUUAUCGGGGAUGGAUGAGCCCGCGUUGGAUUAGCUAGUUGGUGGGGUAAAGGCCUACCAAGGCGACGAUCCAUAGCUGGUCUGAGAGGAUGAUCAGCCACAUUGGGACUGAGACACGGCCCAAACUCCUACGGGAGGCAGCAGUGGGGAAUAUUGGACAAUGGGCGCAAGCCUGAUCCAGCCAUGCCGCGUGAGUGAUGAAGGCCUUAGGGUUGUAAAGCUCUUUCACCGGUGAAGAUAAUGACGGUAACCGGAGAAGAAGCCCCGGCUAACUUCGUGCCAGCAGCCGCGGUAAUACGAAGGGGGCUAGCGUUGUUCGGAAUUACUGGGCGUAAAGCGCACGUAGGCGGAUAUUUAAGUCAGGGGUGAAAUCCCAGAGCUCAACUCUGGAACUGCCUUUGAUACUGGGUAUCUUGAGUAUGGAAGAGGUAAGUGGAAUUGCGAGU